ensembl:lncRNA
UAUAAGAUACCUGCAUUUUGUGGACCAGAGUCCUGCUCUGAGCAGUGUCCACCCAAUAAUAAUGCCCAAGACUAUACAAGCCCUGAAAGAGAGGCCUGCAGCCUAACUCUCGGCUCAGGAAAUCCCUCCAAGCAGACUUCUUUUCCCUAAAGUUGCGCCUCACCUCACGUGGCUCAUGAACUUCUGCAGAGAUGAAUUUUCUCCAUGCCGUAGCUCUGACUCUACUCUCUGGGUUACUGUUCGCUUGUCCAGCACCAUUUAACAGGAGAUUUGCCUCUGGAAUAUUCCUGAGGAAUAUCUCUAGGAAAUCGGAUAAGCAGAGUUCCUGUACUUUGAGAAAAAGUCGCUGUGGGGAACUGAAGUGUCUUUUUAAAGAAGAGCGAGGGUUAGAAUAUGAUGUGAAGGGUCUCCCUUGCUAAGGUCACCAUGAGGAACCGAGGACCAGGACAACCCAUUAGACUCACAGAGGUUGAGAGCUGGAGGAAUAGAAAGAGAUGUCAUUCAGCAGCUACGAUAGUGUGUGUCCCCACUUUUCAGUUUCCUGGAGGGGAAUAAGCAGAAUUCAAUGAGGCCAUCGUGGGGAUGUUCCCCUCUGAAUAGUCAGGAUGGCGGAUUCUCCAGCCAACUCUUCCUUUCCCCCACAGAGCGCACGGUCUUGGAGGAGUACAUCAGGGAAUGCUUCUCUCUCACGCAUCUUCCAGCAUGUGGCCAGACCAGCAGGGGCCAUUAUAUGGCAAGGACAUCCAUUCAAAUCAAGCUGAGAGCCUUAGUGUGACUCAAGGACUCUUGUCGGGGCCCCAGGGAAACUCAAGGAUCUGAACAACUCACUCUUCAGCAGAUUCGGACAUUGGCUCCAAUGUUGGAAGAAGGUUUUUCUAAUGGAACAAGCCCCUAUUUCUAGUGACAUUGGUUUAUCUCCUUAAACCAGUCUUUCAUCAGGAAAAAAAUAUGGUGUUUUUAAAGAGGUCGAACAUUUGCCUGUUUUGGACAUCUUAAUAUCAGGCAAUCAAAGGUCAUUUUAGUGUAAUUAUUAAGGUUUAUUUCCUCAUCCGAACAAAAACAUGGAUUUGUUAUUAAACCCAGACCAACAUUCAUUUAACCUGUCUCUUUUCCAUCUUAGUUAUCAUUUAUUUUGGAAAGAGCAAAUAUGUGGUUACUUAAAAAUAAUAUACCAACCAAAUGUUAAGAGGGACUGGGUUUUUGUUUGCUUUCUUAACCUUUUGCGUGUAUUUAUCACAUAUGAAGAAUGAAAGUCAAUCCUGUAGUACUUACUAUGUGCCACUGUUCUAAGUGCUUUACAUGUGUCAAUUAUCUAAUCAUCACAAUACUCUAUGAGGUAUUAUUAGCCUCCUUUUCCAAAGAGAGAAUAUUAACGACAUAAACAGGGUUCUGAGUCCAUGGUCGUUUCUCAGCCUUCGGAGGUUAUGGCCGGGCCUCAGCUUCCUGAUGACCGGUUCAUUUGCAGAGUUGACAGUGACUUGUUUUAACACAUAGUUGGUAUGGUUCUUCCUCUUCCUGUUUCCUCCCUCUGACUUCUCCACAUCUGCCCUGAGAACUGCGCCACUUACAACAGCUUACUUGAGACUCCCUUAGUUAUUACGUUUGGUAACUUUACUUUCCUAUUCCUGCUUUUAUUUUUAUCCUGUUAAUUUCGUAUUCCAACUCCACCAGGAGUUAAGGCAAGACAAAAGGAGCAGGAAAGGACAACAGAAGAGGUGCUCUGAAAUCGCCUGGUUUAAAGCUUCAUACUCAGAGAACGUGGGGAAAGUAUACUGAAUAACUCAAUUGAAACAAAUAGAUAGUUGGUGAAAUGUUUUGCUAUUACUUUACUUUCUCCUUGUUUUUUUUUUUUUUUCUCAAUUGGUUUUACUAUUUUAUCAUAUUGUCUCCUGAAGACUCAAACCAUGACUGUUUUUAAUCACUUUGCUGGACCACGGAAAGUGUGUACAGUAGACCAAACAAGUUUUCUAUUAGAUUUUACACAUUGGUUUUUCCCAAAAGUCGUCACUGACAAGGCCUUCCCACAAGUAUCUAUUCCCUUCUUUGAACUCUCUUGGCACUCACACACACAGCCAGUAUCUCACCACCAAGCCCCUGUUUAUUAUCUUGGCUCGGAAUUGUUCUCUAUUCAUUUAAUUUACAUACAUCUUGGCUUCAGAACCAGGUUCCCAAAAAAGGGCUAUUCUUUUUCUUUGCAGAUUCUGCAGAGCCUGAUUUUGUAGGCCAGAUGAAUUAAUUUGUAGAGCUGAAUCAGGGAGAGCGCUCUAUGUAAAUGGCAUAUAUCCCUGAAGUCUUAUUGCUGAGCACAAGAGCACUGGAUUGAUGGGGACAGGGCCACAGAGAUGAAGUGUCACAGCGAGGGUAGGAGGAAAGUUGGUCUACCUUGGGCCAGACUUGCACGUGGGGGAAGAUAAUCCUAGGUGAGGACAGGAGCCAGGGUGGCUGCAAAGAUGAGAGCCAGAGUCCAGCUUGAGCCCUCUGUGGUUGUGAGACCACAGGAGGAAGACUGUCCAGAAUUUUGGAAGAUUCUAAAGUUACAGACCAGAAGUAAGAUUGGGUUUUCUCUAAACAAAAAAAGAGACAUUCUCUGUGACAUUUGUGGAGAAGAGUCCAGGAGAAACAUCUACACUGAGAAUGGAAAGCAAACCCCUAAGACACUAGAGGUGAAGAUGUUCAAAGACAAGCAUUGAUGUGGCUGAGUGACUUGCCAGGAAUCUUUGAUUGGACCAUUCUCACAACACUGAGCCCAGAAUCUCAUUUUUGUGGUUCAACAGCUCUCCAUCCAUUCUCUGCAGAUGGCCCUCCUCACCGUCAGCGUGUGUUUUGACCAUUCGUUCUUCAGUCUUUGGAAGCUCUGAGAAGUAUUGUUUAAGGAGGAUGGAUUUCUGCUGUGAGAGCAGAGUCGCACCAUGUGGACUCCCGAGCUUGGGAGAGGGCACCGUUGCAAUGAUGGCUACUCAGCG